rnacentral:rRNA from 1 species
GAUGAACGCUGGCGGCGUGCCUAAUACAUGCAAGUCGAGCGAACGGGCGAGAAGCUUGCUUCUCUGAUGUUAGCGGCGGACGGGUGAGUAACACGUGGAUAACCUACCUAUAAGACUGGGAUAACUUCGGGAAACCGGAGCCAAUACCGGAUAAUAUUUUGAACCGCAUGGUUCAAAAGUGAAAGACGGUCUUGCUGUCACUUAUAGAUGGAUCCGCGCUGCAUUAGCUAGUUGGUAAGGUAACGGCUUACCAAGGCAACGAUGCAUAGCCGACCUGAGAGGGUGAUCGGCCACACUGGAACUGAGGCACGGUCCAGACUCCUACGGGAGGCAGCAGUAGGGAAUCUCCCGCAAUGGGCGAAAGCCUGACGGAGCAACGCCGCGUGAGUGAUGAAGGUCUUCGGAUCGUAAAACUCUGUUAUUAGGGAAGAACAUAUGUGUAAGUAACUGUGCACAUCUUGACGGUACCUAAUCAGAAAGCCACGGCUAACUACGUG